GACAGUUGUAAGUUGUAUUAAAACAAGGUUUUUACGUAAUAUACAUAAUAUAUUAAGUAUAAAUUUAAAACAAUUAAUUAUAGUAAGACAAUGUCUUAAUCAUAAUAUAUAUUUUAUUUAUUUGAAUGAAAAGUUUUUUAGUUUGUUAUGGAACUAGACUAGAAAUUACCUAAUAAGCUUCUUAUAACUUGUGUAAUGUGUUUCUUUUACGAAUUUGUAUAUUGGUAUAAUCAUAUCAUGCUAUUCCUACAAUAUUAUAACUAACACUGAAGCUUGAGUCUCAAGUCAUGAAAAAGGGCCAACUUUUACGUGUUGGCGGAAAGUUACCAAAAUAAGUUAAGGACUUAAUUCAGAGAUAAUGUUGCUAAAAGAUUUACAGUUGAUAAUCUUUCAAAAGCAGAAAAACUCAGGUUAGCAUCAAUUAGAAAGUUAGCGCAAUUUCUGGUAUUUGUGUGUCAAACAAAGAAUACGCGAAUUAUUUGAGAUAUGAUUGAAAUUUGCAAAGAAAGUAAAAAUCAAACUAGUUUCAUUCUAAGUUAUUGUAUAUAAUUUUAAAAUUUUGGAA